CACGUAGGCGGAUCAGUCAGUCAGAGGUGAAAUCCCGGAGCUCAACUUCGGAACUGCCUUUGAUACUGCUGAUCUGGAGUUCAUGAGAGGUGUGUGGAAUUCCGAGUGUAGAGGUGAAAUUCGUAGAUAUUCGGAGGAACACCAGAGGCGAAGGCGACACACUGGCAUGAUACUGACGCUGAGGUGCGAAAGCGGUGGGGAGCAAACA
rnacentral:rRNA from 1 species